rnacentral:rRNA from 1 species
UGGGGAAUAUUGCACAAUGGGCGCAAGCCUGAUGCAGCCAUGCCGCGUGUAUGAAGAAGGCCUUCGGGUUGUAAAGUACUUUCAGCGAGGAGGAAGGCGGUAAGGUUAAUAACCUUAUCGUUUGACGUUACUCGCAGAAGAAGCACCGGCUAACUCCGUGCCAGCAGCCGCGGUAAUACGGAGGGUGCAAGCGUUAAUCGGAAUUACUGGGCGUAAAGCGCACGCAGGCGGUCUGUCAAGUCGGAUGUGAAAUCCCCGGGCUCAACCUGGGAACUGCAUUCGAAACUGGCAGGCUAGAGUCUUGUAGAGGGGGGUAGAAUUCCAGGUGUAGCGGUGAAAUGCGUAGAGAUCUGGAGGAAUACCGGUGGCGAAGGCGGCCCCCUGGACAAAGACUGACGCUCAGGUGCGAAAGCGUGGGGAGCAAACA